UCUACCAAACCCAGACAGAGGGAGACACAGAGCCCCCAGCUGUCACCUCAUUUGAACUGAAACAACUAGAAGCCAAAGAAGACAACUUUUUAAUAUCAGAACCAACAAGUGACCACCAAAGCCUCUCUAACUGCUGUCAUGUAACUAAGAGUGAAGCUGACCAUACUUGCAGUCACCAAAACUGUGAGGCAGCGGGUUCAACUCAGAGAACAAGGAUGAAAUCUUACAAAAAGCCCUACAACAAGUGCAAGAUUUGUGGGAAAGUUCUUUAUAAUUUGGAAAUUUUUAAAAUUCACAUGACAUUUCACACAGGGGUAAAGCCUUUCAAAUGCACCACUUGUGGGAGAGAUUUUAGCUGGAAGUAUGACAUGGAGAGGCAUACAAGGACUCAUGCAGGGGAGAAACCAUUCAGAUGCACCAUGUGUGGGACAAUGUUUACCCACAAGUCCCUUUUACAAAAGCAUGCAAGGACUCAUACAGGGGAGAAGCAAUUCAGAUGCGCCACAUGUGGGAAAAUGUUUACCCAGAAGUCACAUUUACAAACACACAUAAGGACUCAUACAGGGGAGAAGCAAUUCACAUGCGCCGCUUGUGGGAAAAUGUUUACCCAGAAGUCACAUUUACAAGGGCAUGUAAGGACUCAUACAGGGGAGAAGCAAUUCACAUGCGCCGCUUGUGGGAAAAUGUUUACCCAGAAGUCACAUUUACAAAGGCAUGUAAUGAUUCAUACAGGGGAGAAGCCAUUCAGAUGUGUCACAUGUGGGAAAAUGUUUACCUACAAGUCAAAUUUACAAAUACACAUGAGGACUCAUACAGGGGAGAAGCCAUUCACAUGCGCCACUUGUGGGAAAAUGUUUACUCAGAAGUCAUAUUUACAAACACACAUAAGAACUCAUACAGGGGAGAAACCAUUCACAUGCGGCACUUGUGGGAAAAGGUUUACCCAGAAGUCAUAUUUACAAACACACAUAAGGACUCAUACAGGGGAGAAGCCAUUCGGAUGCACCACGUGUUGGAAAAUGUUUUCCAACAAGUCAAAUUUACGAGCACACACGAGGAGGACUCAUACAGGGGAGAAGCCAUUCGGAUGUGCCACAUGUGGGAAAAUGUAUCCCCGUAAGGCAGAUUUACAAACACACAUAAGGACUCAUACAGGGGAGAAGCCAUUCAGAUGCAGCACGUGUUGGAAAAUGUUUUCCCAGAAAUCAGAUUUGAAAAAACACACGAGGACUCAUACAGGGGAGAAGCCAUUCACAUGCACCACAUGUGGGAAAAUGUUUACCCGGAACUCACAUUUACAAAGGCAUGUAAUAAUGCAUACAGGGGAGAAGCCAUUCAGAUGUGUCACAUGUGAGAAAAUGUUUACCCACAAGUCAAGUUUACAAACACACAUGAGGACUCAUACAGGGGAGAAGCCAUUCGGAUGCAGCAGGUGUUGGAAAAUGUUUUCCGACAAGUCAAAUUUACGAGCACACACGAGGACUCAUACACGGGAGAAGCCAUUCGGAUGCGCCACAUGUGGGAAAAUGUAUCCCCGCAAGGCAGAUUUACAAACACACAUAAGGACUCAUACAGGGGAGAAGCCAUUCAGAUGCAGCACGUGUUGGAAAAUGUUUUCCCAGAAGUCAGAUUUGAAAAAUCACAUGAGGAUUCAUACAGGGGAGAAGCCAUUCACAUGCGCCACUUGUGGGAAAAUGUUUACCCGGAAGUCACAUUUACAAAGGCACAUAAAGACUCAUCCAGUGGAGAGCCAUUCAGGAGCUGUGAUUGUGGAAAUGGGUUCAGCUCAAAAUGGCAUCUCAAACAACAUGUCAUGAUCCAUACUGGUGAGAGGCCUCACAGGUCACUGCAAAAAAAGUAAACUGACUAUUCAUCUUAAUCAUUUCAUAUUGCAACAUAUGUCAGAGGAUUCAAUUGAGUCAUUAUAUGGUGCAACUGCACAAACAAUAUAUGAUGUCUUUAUGAUAAUUUUGUUAAUAUGGAGAAGUCACUUAGAUGAGUGAUGAAACAUUUCUCUCAGGAAAAGUUGUGUCCAGAUGAACUGAUUCGACUUUCUUUGAUCUUCUUACCUGGAUUAUUGAUCAUGCAUGAAGAUUUACUGGUCAUGGAUAAACAGCAUCACUAUGGUGUUACUACAUGUGGAACAGGAUACUGUGAAGUGCUAGUCACAGACCAAUUUACAGCUGAGGGCUUGAAACAGUCUGCAGUCUGGUACCAAAAAGAUGGAAAAUCCACAUGCCGUAUAGAUGCCGGUUGGCCACCAGGGCAUCAAUCACAGAUAUGUAAAGAUAUUGAUAACCCCACAGUAGCCACUCAGACUGUUGAAAACCCUCUAAUGCAUGUAAUGUGCUUUGAUACUGUAGAUAAAUGCAAUGGUGUGAUGUUAAAUAAUGAUGAUUACAACGUAUUGAUUGGAAUAAGGGAUAUAAGGAUAGAUUAAUCAUUGGGAAAUCAUAUGCGUAAGGAACAAGGCUUGUUACAAGGACAUGAGGGGCUAUAGGGGCAGUGGAAAAGUAUGGAGUAUGUCAGCAGACAGAGAAAUGCAGAGUAAGUUAUAGGAAGAGAAGUGGGUGACAAUAACAGGAUAAGAUGUCCCAAGAGGAAGAUUGUGUCUACCCCCAUAGAAGAAACAGGAUCUCACGACAGCAGCUGCAGAGGGAGAUCACUUGGAGUCCAGAUAUCAUCAAGGCGGAAAUGGAGUCAGAUCAACGGACCAAUCGCAAAGAAGACCACACAUUCAUGUUUAGUCAACACUUUGUAUAGUAUAAAAGACUGGGUCAGGGAAAGAAUAGUGAGUCAGACUUCGUGAACUGACAUACUCUGUUGUUUGUCAGGGAUAGGAAGAUCUAGACCCAGAGCUCUGUAUGCUUUAUCCAUUUACUGCUAAAUAAAACGGAUGG